CACAUCACACACACACAUCACACGCGCAUACACACACACACAUCACAUAUCACCCACAUCACACACACAUUACACACACACACACACAUCACACACAUAUAUAUAUACUAAUCACACACACAUCACACACACACACACACAUCACAUCACACACACAUAGAGAAAUGCACACACACAUCACACUCACAGAGACAGAGACACGCAUCACAUCACACAUAUUACAUACACACACAUCACAUCAUACACACAUUACACACACACACAGACACAAACACACACAGAGAUAGAGACACGCAUCACAUCACACACACACAAAUCAAACACACACACAACAUUACACACACACACAUCACACACACACAC
rnacentral:lncRNA from 1 species